rnacentral:tRNA from 1 species
GCGCCCUUAGCUCAACUGGAUAGAGCAACCGGCUUCUACCCGGUUGGUUGGGGGUUCGAGUCCCUCAGGGCGCGCCA